AUAUGCAAUCACCACGUGCAAUAACUUCACGGGAUUCCAAUAGUCAGCCAUAGUACAGUAUGGCCAGUACAGUAUGGCACAGCUGUGCCAUACUGUACUGGUUACUGUGCUGCACAGUAACCAUUAUAUAGAUCCAAUACGGAAUAACAGCUUUGGUUUUAAAAUGCGAUGGCAAUGUAAAAGUAAAACUCGAUAAGGGAAAAUAGCGUAACCGUCAUUUUAGACUAGUGACAAAAUAUAUGCGCGCGGGCGUUGAGCCAUCGUGUUUCUGAAUAUGUAAUCGUAGUAGGUCGCUGAUAGCUGGUGCUGCUGAUAGUUAGAAAUUUCGUACGGAAUAGCGAUAAGAGUUUUGUCGACAAAAAAGACAACAACAUCGGGCCAUACAGUGCAAUAAGAUGGCGAGCUUUCAAACCGACUUCUUCGUUAUGUCAAGAUUUCCUUCUGUUUUCCUGGUGAGUUGCAUAAAUUCCACGUUAAAUCUGGUGCAAUUCGUGCGCACGAACUUAGUCGAAACAGUAGUUUGAUUUAGCUCGUUCGCUGAUGCUUGGUUGAAACACACUUUUAUCUACUAGACAGCUUAUUGUUGACGAAAAAUGUUGCUGAAAAGUUGAAAAGAAAACUAACUUUUUCAGAUGUGCCACUGCUCUAGAAAAGAAAAAGAUAAAUUCGGCGGAUUCAAAACUGACGAUUUGAGUAUCAAUAUUUAAUUAGAUACCAAAAGUUCUAUGUACAAAAUUCACAGGCAUGCCGAAUCGAUGAAAAUUGUAAGGUUAAAAAAAAGAACAAAAAAAAAAAGAUAAA